UGAAUCUUGUGCAUUGUAUUAUGUAUUGUCCCCCAUUGUCAGACAAGUGUUUUUCUGUUUCUUGUUUGCAUGAUAUGCAAAGUACUUAACAUUUCAUGUUUUACCCAUAACUUGGUUGUCUUAAUUAAUACAGAUCUACAUGAAACUUAUAUGUAGCAGAUAUUAUGUUAUUCUCGUUUGUAUCAGUGUAAGAUUUAAGAAUUUUGGAUAACACGUGAUUCAGUUUUUACAUUUGUUACAAUUCUCUUCUAUCUAUUUAUAUCUAACAUAUCUGAUGGUCUUGUAAAUAUGCUAGGUAUGAUUGCAUAGCGGGCUACUUGGUGCUGUCAAUAACAAUCAGCAUGACAUGAUACAUAGUUUCCAUCAGGAGGGCCGACGACAAGAUGAAUAAUAACUUGAAUAGUUUAGAUGUUAUCUUUGUCUGAGCUGGAUUGUACUAUUUCCUAACUUUGUUGAGUGAUAUUUUG
rnacentral:lncRNA from 1 species